ensembl:lncRNA
CUCAACUUUAAAGGCACCUUAUUUAACUUGCUUUUAAAAAUAGUGCACUAAGUUUUCAUGUGUUUUACUUGGCAGACACACUGACUUGGGGGUUGGUCUUUCGCCUGGUUUAGCGUCAGUGCAACACCUUUUGUUGAUGGAUGGAGGGAGGAAGUAUGCUAAAACGAGACAGUGAUGCGUGUAGAAAAGCUUGUGUCUCAUUCAAAGAAUAAUGAGACAUCUAGAGGGGAAAGGAGAGGUCAGAAGCAGGGUUUCUGCUAAAGAGAAAAAGGGCUGUAUUGCCAGGGCUGAAUUCACAUCAUCUUUGGAACAAGUGUCAAUGUUAGAACUUAUGACACUUCUUUCUUUGGGAGCUGAAUAGGAGCCUAGACAUGCUAGGUCUUUAAGGACACAUUUAGAGGCUUCUGGGUUCACCUUCAACACCAGUCCCAGUUACCAGUUCACUAUUCCUUAGACCUUAAGGUGAACUCCACUGAUGAGUAGGCAUAUUUACAUUGGAAGACUGUAUGACUCUCCACCCUUUGCCCUGAAGUUUAGAGGGACUGUGCCAAGCACUGUGGUAAAUAGGAGAUUGGGGGGUUGUCAGCUUUCUGGCGUUGUUAUUGCUAAGGAAGGACGUCAAGAGAAAAUAGAGAAGGGAGACAAGGACAGAACCUUGGAGCACUAGGAGAACUAUAUUAGUUUAGUUUGUAAAUGUGCAAACUGAAUCUUUUAUGAUCUGACAUUCCUGUCCCUCAUGCCUCUGUUCAGACUCUUUCCUGUCUUUGGAUUUCCUUCAGCCAUUUCCAGGGGUCUACCUCAGAUGGAAGUAAUCUUUCUCAACGUGAUAUCUGCUCCUCUUUCGUGGUACUGAUCAAUCUGCACUUCUUGCUAUAGGUAUUUGCACACCCAUGUACUUAUAUGUUUGAAGAUCUGUUUUGUGAGUUAGAAACUCAGCUUCCUACCGUUGUGGUCCAGAUCCUCAGGGAGCGUCCUGAAGAUGAUGGUGAUGGUAACAGUGAGGAGGCAGAUGAUGAAGAUGAUGACGAUAAUGGCAGUACAUCGGAGCACAGCAAGGCCAUUUUUACGUCAUCUCCUGAUCCAAGUUCAACAAAAGCCUCACCACUCUGCCCACCCCUCUCUGGUGUGGAUGAAAUUCGCCUGCAGCCCGGCAUGGUGCAGUUGGAGAGGACGUCCUGCGCAUCCUCAACAGAGCAGGGCCAGGGCGCGCCACGCAGCCUGACCACAAAGCCCUCCCCUCCCUCAGGGCUCAGCAGCAUGGACUCUUGAUGGGGUAGGUGUCAGGUGAGUGGGGUGUGGCUUUUUUUGUGGCACGGAGUCGGGCAGAACUGGUUUCUGUUGCUAUCAAGCAAGCGUGGCUGGCAGCCGAGGGCCCCCAAAUUCCAACGAAGCGCGACCACGCAGAGGGCUCCCGGGAAUGUCCAGGUGCCUCUUUUUGUUCUCAACCUGCAUCAGAAGUCCACGUGGACUGGGACGGUUGCCUUCCCUGAGGUCUGAAGGCCCCAGCCUGAUGCAGGUGUUUGGCUGAAAGCAGGGAACCCAGGCCUUUGGACCAGGUGACCAUGUUCUCACGGCCUCCUCCCGGCACUCCAGCAGCCUCAGAGGUUAUCCGUAUUACUUUUAUGUAUGAAAAAUGGAGGCCCAGAGAGAUUGUUACUGUUAGAACUGUUUGUGGUAUAGACAGAAAACUAAAUUCCAACAAUAAAGGGAAUUGAUUGGUUCACAUAACUGAAGCGUAUAGAGGUCUAUUAGCUUCAGGUGUUGUUUGAACCAGUUGUUCACUGCCCAGCAGUAUAACCAACAUUCUGUUUCUUUCCCCAUUCUGCUUUCCUCAGUAUUCUUUCACUGCCUGGCAAUCUCAUCUCUAUCCUAGUGGUCACACGUGGCUGCAUUAUCAUUGAUCUAUCAUCAAUCUAUCAUUGAUAGGAUCUACAACAGGCAGAGGAAUCUUUUCUUUGCCAGAAGCCCUUUGCAAGCGUGUUUCAAAUCCCUUUGCUCUGAUUGGGUUUCAUGACUGCCCUUGAACUAACUUCUGUAGCCAGGCGGAUGGGAUAGAAACAAUGGCUUUAAGACAAUCAGGCCCAACUCCUAGAGUCUGGGGUCAGGUGAACAACCAUAAUAUCAUAUAGGUUAGAAUGGAGAAAAGUGGUUUCCCAGAUUUUUUUUUGGGGGGGGUUCCAAUGGUGGGAGAAUAAAGAAAUGGAUACUGGGAAGACUGACAGCAGGUGUCCAAGGGCAAUGUCUUAUCCAAGGUCAAGCCGCUGGUCAUGGCUAAGCUGUGACUGAAAUCCAGCUCUCCUUACUCAACGUUUGCAGAUGGGUGGUUAUAUAAUUCCAUUUAAGGUACAUGUUUCACAAUAGCCAUCCAAACAGAACCAUGGAUUUGCUUGCUUACAUUGUUUGUUCUUCAACUAUGAUUAAAAAUAUGUACUAAAACACACUUUGCCAUUUAGUCACAGUGAUGAAGACAAUUGUCUGAGUUAACUCAUUCUGUAUCUUAUUAAAGCAUGAAGGAUUUCAGGAGAAAUUAAGAUUUUAGAGAAUGAGAACUAUCAUUUAAAUAAGUGUCCUCCAGUCUUACUAGGGUCUUGGCAGUGUUCUGGAAUGUUUUUCAGAAGAGGAAUCAAUUUUUUUGAUAACCUAUAUGAGAUGCCUCCAGCCCGGAUUUUCAUCUCUGUGAUCAAAAGAUUUGUUAAUGUCCUAUAUUGAGAUCCCUUUCUCUUACUCAGGAAUUAUGGAGGCAGAGAAACAGAAAAGAAGGCACAGCCCUCGAGGAACUCUAUGUUUGGUGGGAGAGGCAGAUAACAAAGCAGGUAGGUGAAAUACCAUGACAGUGAGUGAGUGGGUGGGAAAAUCAAGUGCCUUGAGAACACAGAGGAAGGCAGAAUGUUGGGAUCAGGGAAGAGCCAGGGAAGGCUUUCUCAAGUGAGCUGGAUGGGAGCAGGGAGGGGUUCUAUGGAGGGGGCUCAUGAGUAUUUAGGCAUGAAACCUCAUAGAUUAUGUGAAACCCCAAAUCAUUCAGAAGGGCAGAGAUGUAAGGGCAAGGUAAGGAGUAGGGCGAGAAGGUGCAGACAGGCAGCCUGGAACAGAGUAAUGGAGGGUCUUGGGGCUUGUAUUACGGAGCUUGGUGUCUUUCCUGUAGGUGAUGGAAUGCUUCUAAUGAAUUUUCAGUAAAGACAUGGUUUGUGUCUUGGACACAUUUCUAUAUCAGAUUCUUUGGUUGAAGAUAAUUCUAAUUAAGUUCCUACAGGGGAGUGCACUGGAGAUAUAUGGGAUCCUUCAGAAAACCCAAUAAAAAUCUGAAGAACCCAGGCUCUUAAGGAAUUUCCCAGGACCUACAUAGCAGGAAUCAACUGCAAGUCCCCUCGGUCAGGAAGUAUCAGGGCCAACUGCCCCUAGCGUUAUUCCACCUAGGAUUCAAAUUCCUAAUGAAAGAUGUCAUAGUGCUCCAGCUUGGGGGCACACCUGGCCUGGGCCAGGUAAAGUCAUCAUCUUCACUGGCAGUCCCCCUAAGUCCGUAUCUCAUGGAGUGAGUUCCUGAAGGAAAAUCAGCGUGAUGUUACCCUAAGAAAGAGCUACGCUGGCUGAAGUAAUGGGUGUCCACUUCAACAGCUGUGUGGAAACUAGAUCCGAAAGGCACUAAAGACGAUGGGAAUUAAAAGUCAAAAGACGGUGGAGCUAUGGACCAGGGCUGUGGUAAUAUUGUGGGAUUUACAAACAUUUAUGAGAUAAAAAUUGGUGAUUGAUUUUGGCAGAAGGAAGAGGGCAGAAUCAAGGAUUAUUCCCAGGUCCUAGAAUGUGGUAGUAGAUAUUACUACUGGAGAGAAGAUAGAAGAUGGGGAAGGGGAGAUGACAAAUUGCUUAUGACAUGCCAAGUUUGAGAACUCUGUGGGACAUCAGGUGGAGGCUAGAAUUUGAAGCAUAGUAACUGAACUGAACUCAUAGGUAUGGACAAUAUAACUUAGGAAGGAUUCUGGAAG